rnacentral:lncRNA from 1 species
GGGGGGCCCAAGAAAUGUUUUUGAGAAAUCCAGGUUCUCAAUUUUGAAUUCCUUCCUAAUUCCACCCUACCCCUCGUAUCCUAUCAUAGGUAAAAAAAAUUAAUACAUGAAAAUUCAACAUUUAUUAAACACCUUUUUUUUUUUUGGUAAUAGGCACUAUACUAGAAGCUAGGGAAGAAGAGUCAAAAAUAAAAGAAUUUCUGUUCUCAAAGAGCUUCAAUCUGCUGAAGGGACUUUCCUCGCACAUAAGCCAUACACGAACCUAAGUCCUAACUGCAAGACUAGCCUUUUAAAGUGGUCAUUGUUGGGUUUCAUUUUUGUCCAAGUGGACACUAACUCCCAAGGUAAGAUGGGGAGAAAGCAGAUGCCUUUCCUCUAUGAAUUUUUAUUUUUCAUUUCUCUUUUUGUAAAGUUUAAUCAUUUAGAUCAAUGA